rnacentral:rRNA from 1 species
UACGAAGGGGACUAGCGUUGUUCGGAAUCACUGGGCGUAAAGCGCACGUAGGCGGUUGUGUCAGUCAGGGGUGAAAUCCCGGGGCUCAACCUCGGAACUGCCUUUGAUACAGCACGUCUCGAGUCCGGAAGAGGGUCGCGGAAUUCCCGGUGUAGAGGUGAAAUUCGUAGAUAUCGGGAGGAACACCGGUGGCGAAGGCGGCGACCUGGGACAAUACUGACACUGAGGUGCGAAAGCGUGGGGAGCAAACAGG